rnacentral:lncRNA from 1 species
AAUCACAGCAGUGCCGACGUCGUGGGUGUUUGGUGUGAGGCUGCGAGCCGCCGCGAGUUCUCACGGUCCCGCCGGCGCCACCACCGCGGUCACUCACCGCCGCCGCCGCCACCACUGCCACCACGGUCGCCUGCCACAGGUGUCUGCAAUUGAACUCCAAGGUGCAGAAUGGUUUGGAAAGUAGCUGUAUUCCUCAGUGUGGCCCUGGGCAUUGGUGCCGUUCCUAUAGAUGAUCCUGAAGAUGGAGGCAAGCACUGGGUGGUGAUCGUGGCAGGUUCAAAUGGCUGGUAUAAUUAUAGGCACCAGGAAUUGUGAUCAACAGGCCCAAUGGCACAGAUGUCUAUCAGGGAGUCCCGAAGGACUACACUGGAGAGGAUGUUACCCCACAAAAUUUCCUUGCUGUGUUGAGAGGCGAUGCAGAAGCAGUGAAGGGCAUAGGAUCCGGCAAAGUCCUGAAGAGUGGCCCCCAGGAUCACGUGUUCAUUUACUUCACUGACCAUGGAUCUACUGGAAUACUGGUUUUUCCCAAUGAAGAUCUUCAUGUAAAGGACCUGAAUGAGACCAUCCAUU